AGCCUGGGAGUGAAGCCAGCAUUAAUUUCAAUUUGGCACCAGGAGCAGUGCCAAACGCUUCCAUCUUUUUGAAAUAACUGGGCCCUCCCCCCUCCCCACAUGUGUUAGCAUCCCGCCCCCAAGGCGAGGCUGUGAACAGGCAGAGCACAGCGAGCGAGCGAGGGAGAGAGAGAGGGAAAGAGAAGACUGUGGAUGCUCUAUGUUAGCCCGGUGCUCCGAGAAGUAUGAACAUCCGCUGUGCUGAUGGGGUUUGGGGGUGAUGGUGGGGUUCGGAGUCGAUGGCCAAGAAAGAAUUCCUGAAGACGUCUUUGGUGCAAAAAGGCAGCCAGGAGAGCCUGAGGAAUAUCACAUAUGUCCCACCCUUGAGUGGGGGGGGGGGGGUGCCCUAGCUUGUACUUUGCCCUCAGCUUGCCUUAUGCUCCCUCAUCAGUGCCACUCAGCUGCUCUAAGGAAAGAUCGCCUCUGUCUGGCCUCUUCAGGGGACGUUGAAGCUUCUACCAUUUGUCUUACCAAAUCCACUCUCUCCUUCCUUCCUUUCCUUUUCUUCCUUUUAUUGAGGAUGGCAGGUGCCCCACUUUUAAAACUCCCCUUGAACUGGAGCUGGCCUUGGGCCUUGCUUUGACCAACGGAAUACAGCAGAAGGGAAGCCAGCCACUGGGAGAGACGUCUGAGUACUGAGACCACCAGGCUGUGAGGAAGCGCAAGCUGGCCACCGGAUGAGACCACUCAGAGGAGCACCAAAGCCGAAGUCACGUGAACGAAGCCUUCUUGAACCUUCCAGCUUAGCCCAGCUGCCAGCUGAAUGCAGUUCAGCGAAUGGCCCCAGCCAACACCGUGUGGGACAGAAACACCCCCCAGCUGUACUCUUGUCAGCCCGCAGAGUAUAAGAAAUAAUCGCAUUGUU